rnacentral:rRNA from 1 species
CCCUGAGAGACCAUCAGGUAGAUAGGACAGAGGUGGAAGUGCAGUAAUGUAUGUAGCUGACUGUUACUAAUAGGUCGAGGGCUUGACCUAAAA